AAACCAUAUAAUAUAUGGUGGGCGGGGAUGGGGGUGGGAGUAGGGGUAAGGUGAAGGCUCGAUUGGGAGGGUUUUGCAGCUUUUAAGAAUGGAAAGACAAAGUUCUAGAGAUGAAACGGUAAGGAUCCUCAAGAUUGGGACUCAAUCUUUUUUUUUUGUUUUUUAAUAGUUGUUCUACAACUGAAUUGGAGAUUAAUUUAUUUGAUGUCAGAUCAUUGUCGGCAUCUGUAAAACGGGCUGGCUGUUUGUGGUUCAUCUAUUACUGACCCGUGAAUCCGAUUUGCUUAAUUUGUGUUGUGGUCCUUUCAAUUUUUGUCUCCAUGUUUUAUGUUAUAUUUUCCUAUUACAGCAUCUCCAUGUGCUAUUCGCUAAAACCACUCCCCUCUUUGAAGUACAAAAAAGCAUCAUUCAUUGUCCCAUUACCAUUUCUCUAGGAAGGACAGAGACACAUGCACGAACAUGUGAGUGUACUAUACGAGUACAUCGUUACGUGAGCUUUUGGACGAG
rnacentral:lncRNA from 1 species